rnacentral:rRNA from 1 species
CUAGCAAAACGAAUUUUAGUUAGAAUCCCCGAAACUAAGUGAGCUACUUCGAAAUAGUUCUAGAACAAACCCGUCUCUGUCGCAAUAGAGUGGGAAAAUUUCCAAGUAGAGGCAAUAAACCUACCGCACUUAGAGAUAGCUGGUUGCUCAAGAAAAGAAUUUUAGUUCUACCUUAAGUCUCUCAAUUUUACAAAAAAUUUUUUAGGCUUAAGAGCUAUUCAAAUAAGGCACAGCUUAUUUGAAACAGGAUACAACCUACAAUAUAGGGUAAUAAAUAAUAGCAGGUGACAAGUGGGCCUAAGAGCAGCCAUCUUCUGAAAAGCGUUAAAGCUUUACCCCUAUUUUUUCUUAAUUCCUUAAUACACCUUCAACCCUUCAUCAGUAUUGAACAACCCCAUAAACUUAUGGAAGCUAUAAUGCUAGAACUAGUAACAAGAAAUAAAUUUUCUCCAUAAUUCAAGUCUAAGCCAGAGUAGAUAUUCUACUGGCAAUUAACGCAAAUGAGAAUAUUAUAUUAACCCUGCAAGAAAAACCUAUAUUUACCAUCGUUAAUCUUACACUAGAGUAUUAAUGGAAAGAUUAAAAGAAAAAGAAGGAACUCGGCAAAACCUAACCC